rnacentral:rRNA from 1 species
AAAUUGAAGAGUUUGAUCAUGGCUCAGAUUGAACGCUGGCGGCAGGCCUAACACAUGCAAGUCGAACGGUAGCACAGAGAGCUUGCUCUCGGGUGACGAGUGGCGGACGGGUGAGUAAUGUCUGGGAAACUGCCCGAUGGAGGGGGAUAACUACUGGAAACGGUAGCUAAUACCGCAUAACGUCGCAAGACCAAAGUGGGGGACCUUCGGGCCUCACACCAUCGGAUGUGCCCAGAUGGGAUUAGCUAGUAGGUGGGGUAACGGCUCACCUAGGCGAC